AUUGAACGCUGGCGGCAGGCCUAACACAUGCAAGUCGAGCGAGCGGCGGACGGGUGAGUAAUGUAUGGGCAUCUGCCUGAUGGCGGGGGAUAACUACUGGAAACGGUAGCUAAUACCGCAUACCAUCAGAUUAAGCCAUAUGGGAUUAGCUAGUAGGUGUGGUAACGGCUUACCUAGGCGACGAUCCCUAGCGGGUCUGAGAGGAUGAUCAGCAAAACUGGGCCUGAGACACGGCCCAGACUCCUAGGGGAGGCAGCGUUGGGGAAUUUUGCACAAUGGGGGCAAUCCUGAGGCAGCCAUCCCGGUUGUAUGAUGCAGGCCUUCGGGUUGUAAAGUACGUUCAGUCGGGAGGCGUUACCGACAGAAGAAGCACCGGCUAACUCCGUGCCAGCAGCCGCGGUAAUUC
rnacentral:rRNA from 1 species